ensembl:lncRNA
AUGGUGGAAGUCACCCCAUAGCCCCUGAGAUGAGUAGGGUGACAUUGUCUUAUGCUGGGUGAUGGCCCGGGCCAUGUACUCAGAUGUGUUUGGCUAGCAGCCUGGGAGUUCUCGACUUUUAUAAGUCUCAACAAAAGGCGUUGAGAAGAGCUUUUGAUACAGUUAUUUGAUCAGAGAUCAAACGUUUCACCGUUGCAUUCAUCCUUUUCAUGUUUCCAGUAUGUAAGUUACUUAAAAAAAACCACUUACCCUGCAGGUGUUUGGGCACGUGCUCUGAGAAAUCUCUCUUUGGGACAACCGCAGAAGAGAAAUGGCAAAGGCUUCAGAAAUAACGACCAGGGACUGGCGCUGGCCCCGUGUGGUGCCUCCACAGGGAAAAUUAGUGGCAAGCCAGCAUCUCGGCCAGCACUCGCCAG